rnacentral:rRNA from 1 species
UCGGAGUGCUUGCACUCUGCGAAACAAGAUACAGGCUAGCGGCGGACGGGUGAGUAACACGUGGGUAACCUGCCCAAGAGAUCGGGAUAACACCUGGAAACAGAUGCUAAUACCGGAUAACAACAGAUGAUGCCUAUCAACUGUUUAAAAGAUGGUUCUGCUAUCACUCUUGGAUGGACCUGCGGUGCAUUAGCUAGUUGGUAGGGUAACGGCCUACCAAGGCGAUGAUGCAUAGCCGAGUUGAGAGACUGAUCGGCCACAUUGGGACUGAGACACGGCCCAAACUCCUACGGGAGGCAGCAGUAGGGAAUCUUCCACAAUGGACGCAAGUCUGAUGGAGCAACGCCGCGUGAGUGAAGAAGGGUUUCGGCUCGUAAAGCUCUGUUGUUGGUGAAGAAGGACAGGGGUAGUAACUGACCUUUGUUUGACGGUAAUCAAUUAGAAAGUCACGGCUAACUACGUGCCAGCAGCCGCGGUAAUACGUAGGUGGCAAGCGUUGUCCGGAUUUAUUGGGCGUAAAGCGAGUGCAGGCGGCUCGAUAAGUCUGAUGUGAAAGCCUUCGGCUCAACCGGAGAAUUGCAUCAGAAACUGUCGAGCUUGAGUACAGAAGAGGAGAGUGGAACUCCAUGUGUAGCGGUGAAAUGCGUAGAUAUAUGGAAGAACACCGGUGGCGAAGGCGGCUCUCUGGUCUGUUACUGACGCUGAGGCUCGAAAGCAUGGGUAGCGAACAGGAUUAGAUACCCUGGUAGUCCAUGCCGUAAACGAUGAGUGCUA